rnacentral:rRNA from 1 species
UACGAAGGGGGGCUAGCGUUGCUCGGAAUCACUGGGCGUAAAGGGCGCGUAGGCGGCGUUUUUUAAGUCGGGGGGUGAAAGCCUGUGGCUCAACCACAGAAUUGCCUUCGAUACUGGGACGCUUGAGUGUGGUAGAGGUUGGUGGAACUGCGAGUGUAGAGGUGAAAUUCGUAGAUAUUCGCAAGAACACCGGUGGCGAAGGCGGCCAACUGGACCAUCACUGACGCUGAGCGCGAAAGCGUGGGGAGCAAACAGG